CAUGCGUGCUAGCUGACGCCACAUGGCUGACAGAAGUCCCCCCUCAAGCAGAACAAGCCGUUCCGUCAGCCGUUCGUCAAGUCGUUCGCGCUCACAUUCAUCGUCAAGACGCUCGAGAAGACACCGUCACCAUCGGAGACAUCAUCAUUCGCACUCACCCAGACGACGUGGUUCAAGGUCGUACAGCAGAUCUCGUUCUCACUCACGUGACAAACGUUCACGGUCUGGUUCUCAUUCAAGAGGAAAGCAUCGACGUUCAAGAUCUCCAUCAUAUUCUAGAGGAAGGAGGUCACCACCACAUUAUCGCCGACACUAUAGUCGGUCUCCUCUGAGUCACAGAAAGAGGCAUCCUGGUAACCGAGAUGAUCCAACACCAAGUCGUUGUCUUGGUGUAUUUGGAUUAUCUUUGUACACAACGGAGAGAGAACUGAAAGAUAUUUUCUCUAAAUAUGGACCUAUUGAGGACGUGCAGGUUGUCUAUGACCGUCAGAGUGGUAGAUCUCGAGGGUUUGCAUUUGUCUAUUAUGAUGAGAUUGAUGAUGCAAGAGAGGCUAAAGAGCGGACGAAUGGAGUUGAGGUAGAUGGAAGACGCAUGAGAGUCGAUUUCUCAAUUACAAAACGACCACACACUCCAACACCAGGCAUCUAUAUGGGCAAGCCAACAAGGUCACGAGAUGGAGAUUAUGAUAAUUCCCACUAUUCUCCUUCUCCUUAUGGGUCAAGGCGUCGAUCACGAUCACCGUCUUAUUCUCCUCGUCGCUACUAAAGGAAGAUUGUCAAUCUGUUUCUGCUUCUGUUUGCUGUCUCCAUGCUCUGGAUGAAGAAUAUGCAUUCCUUUGAUGAAGUAUGAAUAUUAGAAGAUAGAAGCUAAUUCAUGUGAAGCUAACAAGCAGCAAGUCCUGCAUGUGAAGAUCUGAAAACCCAAGAUCUACCGCUUCUCACGUGAAGAUCUUGAAGAUCCCUACCUCUCCUUCCUUGACUCCUUGACUUAAACUUGCGUGACUAUACAAGUUGAAUGUACAAUCAAAUUUGAGAGUUUGCACUCUCACCACAAUCAGACCUUCCUAACUAAUCAGAAGCUAUAGUACCUCUUACCACCAUAAUGUUGAAGUUUGCAACCUUGUUGUUAAAGUAUGCCCAGUUAAUCGAAGUUGCUGCUAAUGCAUGGCAUUUUUCUUGAGUGUCCUGUGGGUGAUACUUCAAAUUGUUGUGAAGGCCCAAGAAGUCUUGGUGUUGCAGAUCUGUUUGUGCCACUACUAUUUUGACAAACUUUGAUCAAAACAGAUCUGGAAUAGCUUAUGAACAGCACUUU